GCUCUAACGUUUGUUAUGACGUCUCAAAAUAUUUCUACCAGUAUGAAAGAUUGCGUAAAACAUUUGGAUUGCGCGGUUCUAGACAGAGCUUGACUGUUAGUACUUAGUACAAAUCAGCAACAUAAUGGUGAAAUUAUAACUCUGUUUAGGUCAAAGGCAACGGGAGAAGGUCAUUCGCCCAUCUGGAAUUGUUGAAGUAGGGUUAACAACGACGUGCUCGACUGUAUGUCUGACUGUGUGUAGAGUCGGUACGGCGCUGGGAGGUUAGGAGUUCGGUUCCCUGGAAACACCGUGAACCUCACGAACACUGAAACAAAGACCGAAGAAGGCAGGCUAUCUUGUAUUACGAGAAGCAGACAAGAAGCAGAACUCCAGUUGGAAGCUCUGAAGAAGGUGUAUGACAAACAUCGAAACGUAAGCAAAGUAAACUGACGGAGAAAGAUUGCGGCUAUCCCGUCAUACAUCCCUACCCCGCCGCCCAGAAAAGACGGAUGAUGCUGCUUACCUGGUGCUGCAGUUGACAGCAGCUCAGUUCUCCAUCGCCGCCAAGACCGCCGGAUUGGGAUGCGAACAUUAUCGUCAGCUCUGACCCCGAGGACGGUGAAGACAUUACCUCUAUGCUAGCCGCUUUCAUCACAUUCAUCAAAAUAUCUUCCCCAUUUUUUGACAAGAACAUAUUCCAGGCGUCCCUCCGCGAGGGGAGGGUAUUGAAGCGGGCCAUCAGUUUACCAGGGCUUGGCCGAGAAAAGUUGUGUGGUGUUUCCCUGCGCGGGGAAAAGCAGCUUGAUGGACGAUGUUUUCUGUGAGAAAACGGCAGGGUAACAGAAGAAGGAGGAGAAAUCCGGUUGGAAUAAUCCCAUUUCGCUCAUACUGCGCCCAGAAUUUUACACGCUAGGUUGGAAAGCCGAAAACGCAGACUAAAGAUUAUUGUGAUAGUAUAUAGAUUGCGUCACAACCCUCAGGUCGCCUGUAAAUCGUUAACAAUGUCAAAAAUUAUGAGGAAGUUCUGUCUGUCAUUGGUUGGGCCACGGGGAUCCGUCGUUUCGAAUGUCGCCCGUUCAAGUUUAAGUAGCUAUAAAAGUACAUAAAACCCUCUUUCUUGCUGCAGCAUCACGCCGAAUGCCGUGCUGCCAUUGGGAGAGACCAUAUUGAAUGCAGAAUGCGUACUUGGAGUGGGAAGUGACUUUUGCUUGUUAAUUAUUAGCGUGUCAUAAAAGUACUGAUGUUUGAAUUUGUGACGGUUAGGUCAGCGAGGGGAGACUCCCGGCAUUCCCUGCUGGCUCAUGAUUUACCGAGAAUUCGUUGACCUUGAACCGUAUAAUUUUAGUGAAUACAAAGGAAACCAAUGGGAGUGGAAGAGGAGCAAAUACAUGCACCUGUCUCUAGGCAGCAAGAAAUUUAUCCGCUAUUUGUUUUGUUGAGUGAACAAGUCCGCCAUCUUGGAUUGAAGUUGGCAAACUCAUUGCGUAGGCAGAAGCGCGCCACAUCCUUUUACGGACAGCAACGUCGCUCAGCGCUGCCCCCUACCGGCAGGCGUCAUCACUGCACUGUCAAGGAAUCCAGGACAAAUACAAGAGGCCACAAAUCAAGCCGAAAGCAAAUACGGGGUAGUAGGAACGGUCAGCGUGAUAUAUUGCAUCUGUGCUUAUCGCCAAAAGCGGAGGGGGAAACGAUUGAUGCCAGCCCACGACUCAAGGACAAAGUCACCCUAUGUAUGCAACAUAUUCCUCUCAAGUCACCGACAUGUAUGUGUGAAAAAAAACUUUCUUUCUGACAUACUGUUAGCUUAGUUACGCGAAAUCAGAGCUACAAAUACACAAAACGGUACCAUUUAAAUUGAUAUGAAAUGCAAUUCCAAUGUAUGAAUAAACCUCAUGUUAGACAUCUUAUAGAACAGCAAAGGACCUGAUUGUCAAAAAUGGACUAAAAAAUACGGACAACAGUUGGUCAAUGGUCAUUUACUGACCACGCGGCCGGCCCCUUGUGAAAUGUGAUAGCGUGGAAGUCAUUGACACGGGGCAGGCCGAGAUCUGUCCAUCUGCGCAGCACCAAAGCUCAGGGUUGGCGCCGGUUAGUCAUCCCGGACUCAUCAACCCAGAUCUAAUCUAAUUUCCCAAGGGGGACACCACGUAAAUAAUGUCGGUCUUCACACGCGGACGCUGUCGCUUAUGAACUUGACAUCAGAGGUAAGAAACUUACCAAGCACUCCUGGAUUAUAUACAACUGAUCUUAGCUCAAAUCCCAGACCACAAUUAAGCUCGGUUAGUUCUCUGUCUUGAAGUGUAGAAAGAAUAGUCCAGGGUAUAGUAAAUAUUGAGUUUAACAGACCGAUUUCUAAGAUGGGGCCCAGGAGACUGUAUGUAGUUGAUGGAGAAAUUUGACCUUCUAAUGAAUAUAUGAGGAAAGGUAGAUUCAAUUGAUUUUAUCGUUUUUUUUUUAGUUUCGUAACAAAUGACGAACUGUACGAAAAACUGGUUCAAGCUUAAUUUAAUACAAAAUCGUUACUUUUUAUAUAACCUGUUGUAUAGUAAGCAUACAUUGUAAUCGAGAAUUUGGCAAUAUAUUUAAGUUUCAACACAGUAAAAAGUGUUUUGCUGUUGCGACAAAAUUUCAGUUUGCAUGAGCUAAGAAUAAUAACAUUUAGUGCUAAAACUCAGAUAAAAAACGUUCUGCAACAAACUUUUCACAGUUGAGAACUUUUCACCAUUAAAAUCAAAAGCUGCAUCAGUACAAAAUUCGCAGUACAUUUUCGUUAGGAAAAAAAUGACAAAAACUGACA